ensembl:lncRNA MIAT myocardial infarction associated transcript
AUUAAAAUUUCAUGGGCGCUGCAGCAGCUACAAAGACGACGCCGGCUGCGCUCGCGGGACCAGAGGGAGGGAGGCUGCGGACGAGUGCGGGGAGGAGUUUGAGAUGGGAGGCGCUUGCAGGGGCUCCCCCAGUUCUGCGCUGUGAGCCGGGGCACAAAGAGCCCUCUGCACUAGCGCCGCAGGACCGCGGACCCGAGUUGGAGGCAUCUGUCCACCCAUGUGGUUCCAGACACGUUCAUGUGGCCACCAUGACCCCGUCGGCAUCACAGGGGUAACCAAGGUGAUCCUCCCUCUCUUCCUGUGUCCACUGGGGAUGGUAGAGACCAGCUUAAUGCUUUGAGAUCAGAUCCAUCACGAAAUCCGUAUGUCCUGAGACCUCCUGAAUCUUAAGAGAGCAGCAAGUUCCUGGGACAGAGGAGACAGAAGGGAAUUUCCAGGUUCUUCAGGACGUUCACAACCACACUGAGAAGCAUCUUUGCAGAUAAGUAUUUAAACUUACCAGCCCAUAGCCUACCAGCCUGCCCUCUUCUGGUCUGUGCAGGAAAGUGUAGUAUCCUAGAAUGCCAAAGUGGGAGGGGAAAUGGGUGAUGUAGCUCAUUCUCUUUUCUACCUCUAUGGAAGAAAGAAAGAGCCUGUCCCCAUUUUGUGGGGUCCCAGAAAGGGUGAUUUUCACACUUCACAUUUGGCGUUAGGGCUAGUAUUUCACAAACAUUACCGUCUGGAACUUUUGAAGGCUGAGUUAAAUGACUUCAUCUUGUGUACUUGUAGAACUGCUAUUAGAAGGAGGCUGGGGACUCCCUGAUGAUGUGAACCAGCCCUUCUCUUCUCAGUUUCAGCACUUUGUGAUCAUAUUUAUAAACCUUGGACAGGGCUCCUUGGCCUUAGAGUUAAGUGAAGAGUUAACACUGUGACUUUAGAUGCAUUUUUCUCAGUGUAAGUGUCUGAGCUCAUCUCCAGUUCUGGACUCGUGCCCCCACUCCCGGGUGCUGACAGCAAGCUCUGAAGAUAUGCUGAGAGAGCUCCCUGACUCUCCUGACUCAGGUCUGCCAGUUGAUGAAGACAGCACAGUUGUUACCAAAAA